rnacentral:rRNA from 1 species
UACAUGGGGUGCAAACGUUGCUCGGAAUCAUUGGGCGUAAAGCGCGCGUAGGCGGUUACUUAAGUCGAAUGUGAAAGCCCUCGGCUUAACCGAGGAAGUGCAUCCGAAACUGAGUAGCUAGUGUACGAAAGAGGGUCGCGGAAUUCCCGGUGUAGAGGUGAAAUUCGUAGAUAUCGGGAGGAACACCGGUGGCGAAGGCGGCGACCUGGGUCGAGACUGACGCUGAGGCGCGAAAGCGUGGGGAGCAAACAGG